ensembl:lncRNA
GAGACAUUUUAUUUCUUUUCUUCUCACAUUUCAUUUUCUUGUGUGUCUGUUUUCAUGUGUGGUGGGUGUAUUUACAUUUUCACAUUAAACUUGUACAUUUAUUUUCACAUCUUUUCCCCCCAUGUUCGUGUUUGUGUAGUGUUGUGCGGUGUAGUGUUGUGUAUGUGUUUGUGUAGUGUAGUCUAUGUUGUUGUGUAGUGUAAUGUAGUGUAGGUUAGUGUAGUGUUGUGUAGGUUAGUGUAGUGUAGUGUAGGUUAGUGUAGUGUUGUGUAGGUUAGUGUAGUGUAGUGUAGUGUUGUGUAGUGUAGUGUUGUGUAGUGUUGUGUAGUGUAGUGUAGUGUAGUGUAGUGUAGUGUAGUGUAGUGUUGUGUAGUGUAGUGUAGUGUAGUGUAGUGUAGUGUAGUGUAGUGUAGUGUAGUGUAGUGUAGUGUAGUGUUGUGUAGUGUAGGUUAGUGUAGUGUAGUGUAGUGUAGGUUAAUGUAGUGUAGUGUAGUGUAGUGUAGUGUAGUUGUUUGUGUAGUGUAUGUGUUUGUGUAGUGUUUGUGUAGUGUAUGUGUUUGUGUAGUGUA